GUCAUUAUAGUUUAACGGUUAAAACAAGUAUCUCAUACGUACUGAAUAGAAGUUCAAUUCUUCUUAAUGACU
rnacentral:tRNA from 1 species